UAGCUCAGUAGGUAAAGCAUCUGCCUGCAACACAGAAGACCUGGGUUUAAUCCCUG
rfam:TPA: Bos taurus chromosome 12, whole genome shotgun sequence.